rnacentral:rRNA from 1 species
UUGAACGCUGGCGGCAUGCCUUACACAUGCAAGUCGCACGGCAGCACGGGUGCUUGCACCUGGUGGCGAGUGGCGAACGGGUGAGUAAUACAUCGGAACAUGCCCUGUAGUGGGGAUAGCCCGGCGAAAGCCGGAUUAAUACCGCAUACGAUCUACGGAUGAAAGCGGGGGACCUUCGGGCCUCGCGCUAUAGGGUUGGCCGAUGGCUGAUUAGCUAGUUGGUGGGGUAAAGGCCUACCAAGGCGACGAUCAGUAGCUGGUCUGAGAGGACGACCAGCCACACUGGGACUGAGACACGGCCCAGACUCCUACGGGAGGCAGCAGUGGGGAAUUUUGGACAAUGGGCGAAAGCCUGAUCCAGCAAUGCCGCGUGUGUGAAGAAGGCCUUCGGGUUGUAAAGCACUUUUGUCCGGAAAGAAAUCCUUGGCCCUAAUACGGUCGGGGGAUGACGGUACCGGAAGAAUAGGCACCGGCUAACUACGUG